UACGUAGGGUGCGAGCGUUGUCCGGAAUUAUUGGGCGUAAAGGGCUCGUAGGCGGUUUGUCACGUCAGGAGUGAAAACUCGGGGCUCAACCCCGAGCCUGCUUCUGAUACGGGCAGACUGGAGGUAUGCAGGGGAGAACGGAAUUCCUGGUGUAGCGGUGAAAUGCGCAGAUAUCAGGAAGAACACCCGUGGCGAAGGCGGCUCUCUGGGACGGUACUGACGCUGAGACGCGAAAGCGUGGGGAGCGAACAGG
rnacentral:rRNA from 1 species